rnacentral:rRNA from 1 species
CUACGUGCCAGCAGCCGCGGUAAUACGUAGGGUGCGAGCGUUAAUCGGAAUUACUGGGCGUAAAGCGAGCGCAGACGGUUACUUAAGCAGGAUGUGAAAUCCCCGGGCUCAACCUGGGAACUGCGUUCUGAACUGGGUGACUAGAGUGUGUCAGAGGGAGGUAGAAUUCCACGUGUAGCAGUGAAAUGCGUAGAGAUGUGGAGGAAUACCGAAGGCGAAGGCAGCCCCUUGGGAAUGUACUGACGCUCAUGUGCGAAAGCGUGGGGAGCAAACAGGAUUAGAUACCCUGGUAGUCCACGCUGUAAACGCUGUCGAUUUGGGGAUUGGGCUUUAAGCUUGGUGCCCGUAGCUAACGUGAUAAAUCGACCGCCUGGGGAGUACGGCCGCAAGGUUAAAACUCAAAUGAAUUGACGGGGGCCCGCACAAGCGGUGGAGCAUGUGGUUUAAUUCGAUGCAACGCGAAGAACCUUACCUACUCUUGACAUCCAUGGAAUCCUGUAGAGAUACGGGAGUGC